AUGCUUCGAGAGAUGACAAGUAUAUACUAUUCUUUGAAAGAUGACAAGUAUAUACUAUGCUUUGAGAGGUGACAAGUAUAUACUAUGCUUUGAGAGGUGACAAGUAUAUACUAUGCUUUGAGAGGUGACAAGUAUAUACUAUGCUUUGAGAGGUGACAAGUAUAUACUAUGCUUCGAGAGAUGACAAGUAUAUACUAUUCUUUGAAAGAUGACAAGUAUAUACUAUGCUUUGAGAGGUGACAAGUAUAUACUAUGCUUUGAGAGGUGACAAGUAUAUACUAUGCUUUGAGAGGUGACAAGUAUAUACUAUGCUUUGAGAGAUGACAAGUAUAUACUAUGCUUUGAGAGGUGACAAGUAUAUACUAUGCUUUGAGAGAGAUGACAAGUAUAUACUAUGCUUUGAGAGAUGACAAGUAUAUACUAUGCUUUGAGAGAUGACAAGUAUUUACUAUGCUUUAAGAGAGAUGAAAAGUCUAUACUAUGCUUUAAGAGAGAUGAAAAGUCUAUACUAUGCUUUGAGAGAGAUGACAAGUAUAUACUAUGCUUAGAGAGAGAUGACAAGUAUAUACUAUGCUUUGAGAGAGAUGACAAGUAUAUACUAUGCUUUGAGAGAUGACAAGUAUAUACUAUGCUUUGAGAGAGAUGACAAGUAUAUACUAUGUUUUGAGAGAGAUGACAAGUGUAUACUAUGCUUUGAGAGAGAUGACAAGUAUAUACUAUGCUUUGAGAGAGAUGACAAGUAUAUACUAUGUUUUGAGAGAGAAGACAAGUAUAUACUAUGUUUUGAGAGAGAUGACAAGUGUAUACUAUGCUUUGAGAGAUGACAAGUAUAUACUAUGCUUUGAGAGAUGACAAGUAUAUACUAUGCUUCGAGAGAUGACAAGUAUAUACUAUGCUUUGAGAGAGAUGACAAGUAUAUACUAUGCUUAGAGAGAGAUGACAAGUAUAUACUAUGUUUUGAGAGAGAUGACAAGUAUAUACUAUGCUUUGAGAGAGAUGACAAGUAUAUACUAUGCUUUGAGAGAGAUGACAAGUAUAUACUAUGUUUUGAGAGAGAUAUGCUUUUAUAGGACUGUCUGUUAAAUGUUUUUUACUUUGACAAGAUUAAAUAUCAGUUGUAUGUUAUUUUGACAGAGUUGCCUGUUGAGUUUAUCUUAUGUUGCUAAGGUUGUAUGUCAUUAUUUAUCGUAAAUUUACUUUAAAAUAAUUCUGUCAUUUGAAACGUUUGUGGAUACAGUCAAACCUGUCUAUAAACACCGCUUUAAGGAGACACCAAAACUGCUCUUUAAACAGGUGGUCAAUAGAGCAGGUUUAACUGUGCUUUAAUAUUUCCAAUCAAUUUUAGAAAUUUUUGUGAUAAAACUUUCAUGGUUCCCCAUAUAAUAGAAUAGGAAGUCCAGUACAUCUGCUGCACUUUGUUGUCCAGCAUGCAGUGUGUUUACUUUCGUUAUCAAUUCCGAAAACCCAUCAAUACUAACCCACAAUCCUGACAUUUAUCAACAGGGACCAUGGGUACACUUUCAUCAUUUUCGGAAAAAUAUUUCGCUUUCUUGAGGGUUUCAGUUUGAUUAAUAUAUACAGUAACGACAACCUCAAUGGGUUACCUUGUAAUAGUGCAAGAACUGGAACAAAUUGAUAUUUCUCUUGCCUACCAUUGAAAACAAUGGUUAUAAGCAUUUGUAAUCUAAUGGUUUUUCUGUGAAUAUGAAAAUGGAGGUGACCAUCAAAUGCUGCAGGUCACAUGAUACUUUAACCCUUGAUCACACAAGUGUUAAAUAUAAUAGCUUAAUGUACAGAGAACAGUAUUUACAAGUUAAACUUUGUUAAAAUAGUUAAAGAAGGUUAAAAUAGGACCAAUAAUGAAAAUGAGUGUAUAUUCAAAUCUGUUGACUACGUGAAAGUAUGUUACUGAAGUGUGUUACAAUAUGUUUUAAAAUCUUGUUCAAAACAUAAUUUGUCACUCAUGGCUCUCCCAAGGUUUCUGAAGAAAUGGGAAAUGAAUUAAUCCAGGAUAAUUUAUUUUUAAAGGCUAUAAUGUCAGUAGCUUAUUGGGCAUAUAUCAGUACAUUGUAGUUUGUUUUUUUCCACUGGAAUAUUAUCAAGGGCCAUUUUUGCUUAUCGCUGUACAAAAAAUUGACCAGAGUUAUUCAUUGCUUAAAUCGCGAUGGACAUAAUGAUCCUAUUUAGUUUUCUGAUAGGAUGCGACAGUAACUUCCAAGGCCUGUAUUUGCUUAGGCAAAUUUUUCUGGAUGAAUAAUUGUUAAUUUGUAUUUAAAAAAAACAAACCUGAUUGCCCAAGUAAAUGAAAGGGCCCUUGGUUAGACAAUCAUGCUUUGGGUUCAAAAUUAUCUAAAAUGUGUAUAUUUUUUUCUUUUUUUUGUGUGUGUGUGGAUUAGAUCAUCUUUCUAGGGAACACUUACCACUUCCAGCAUUUUCAUUAUAUCAUUAUCAUAUGGAUAAAGUUGAAAAAAAAUUGUGAAUAUGUUGACUCGGUUGACUUAUUAUUACACUACAGUCCUGACUCAGCAUAUAUUUAUUUAGGUUUGCAAUAUUAAAGAUGCUACACCGCUUAUAGCAUGAACACUGCUUGUCACGAAAUUGAUUUUCACUUUCGAUGAAAAGAGAUAUGAGAUACAAACUUUGGAGGGCGGUAAUAGCAUAAAUUAUGUAGCUUUUGGUAAUUUUUUUCAGUAUACAACUGACUAUCUUUGUUUUCAGUCGGUCAUGAUUACUUUUAAUCAUAAAUUAUGACUCCGCUUAAUAUUAAUUUAACAAUGUGAUGUAAUUUUCGGUAUACUUUGUUCCUUAAAUGUCACCAUUCUGCAGCUGUCAAACAGUAGUAGAUUAUCUACUUUUUUCCUUGACUUUUUUUAGGGAAAUCAAAGAUUCUUAACGAAAUUCUAAAACUUUGAUCACUAAUUGUAUUAUGUUUUCAUUGAAAUCAUACAUCUGACCAUGAUUUUGCCUUAUACAGAUCUGCUUUAUGCUGUAGGGCAACUGUGCCCAUAGCCGAUAGAAAAAUAUUAUUUUUAUGAUACAUGUUUAUGAUUUUAGAUUUAAGAAGCUGUCAUAUUCAGUAAACUAAGCUUCCAUUUAGCUGUAUGGGCACUACUAGAAUCAGGAUGAAAAUUAGCCAGUUUCCUCUGGCCCUUAUACCAUGUCUGAAAUAUGGUGUUAGGGCCAGAGGAAAUUCGGACUCAAUGAAAUUAUGUUUGCUGUAUUCACAUGUUCAACUUUGUAGGACGAUUUUUAACCUUGUUGGGUUAAGGAUGACAUCAAAAAAUUUUCUGUUUCAAAAAUAUCAAAUUGUAAGCAUUUGGUUUGACCUCAUAACCUUGCAGGUCAUUACCAAAAGGAAUAUUGUUGUUGAUAAAAUUUUCAUUGUACAUGUAUCUAACAAAACACUGUAUAAAUUGUUAUUUUUAAGAGUUUCAUUAUUCUUUCUCUGACUAUUUUGAGUAUGAAAUAAAUAUGUGAAAAUUAAAUUCCUUGAAAAAAAAUUGAUAAAGAAAUUGAUGAUGUGUUUAAUAACUUCUGCAAAAAUACAUUCAAAAUAAACCCUGUAUACGAUGGGACAUUGUUUUAUUUUGUCAAAUAUUAAUUUUUGAAUUCUCAGAGUGUUUUGUUCUUCGUCUGGUCUACAUAGACUUUGAUCAGUAAAGAUGUUGUACCAUUGCAGCGUAAUAAUAACUGUUUGUUUAGAUGUUCAUGCUGAUGAGAAUGCAUUGGAUCGAAAUCAAAUAUACAGUGUUAUGCUGUACAUUAAUGUCAAUUACUCAUAUAUUUGUUGUAGGCAAAAAACAUCUGAAAAGAGUGGGAACGUCUCCACACGCAUGGUUCUUAUUUUAAUUAUUUUGAUUUUUAUACAUCCAUGUUACUCAAUAAAUUAUGAGAUUUUCUUUUUAA